ACGCUGGCGGCGUGCCUAACACAUGCAAGUCAACUUGACUGAAGGAGCAAUCUGACAGUAGAGUGGCGCAAGGGUGCGUAACGCGUAAGUAACUUGCCCCAUGGUAAGGAAUAACGUCGAGAAAUCGGCGCUAAUACCUCAUAAUGCAGCGGAUCCGCAUGGAUAUGUUGUUAAAGGUUACCGCCUUGGGGAUAGGCUUGCGUCUGAUUAGCUAGUUGGUGUGGUAACGGCACACCAAGGCUACGAUCAGUAACUGGUCUGAGAGGAUGAUCAGUCACACUGGAACUGAGACACGGUCCAGACUCCUACGGGAGGCAGCAGUGAGGAAUAUUGGGCAAUGCUCGAAAGAGUGACCCAGCAACGCCGCGUGGAGGAUGAAGGUAUUCUAUAUCGUAAACUCCUGUGAGAGCAGACGAAAGACAGAUUAUUAAUCUGGAUGACUGUAUGCUCAGAGGAAGCCCCGGCUAACUACGUG
rnacentral:rRNA from 1 species